GAACGCAUUUAUUAGAUAAAAAGCCAAUGCAUGCUUUUACAGUAUGAAGAUUGGUGAUUUAUAAUAACUUAGCAAAUCGCAAAGUGAAAACAGGCGAUAAAUCAUUCAAGUUUCUGACCUAUCAGCUUUCGACGGUAUGGUAUUGGCUUACCGUGGCAGUGACGGUUAACGGGGGAUUAGGGUUCGAUUCCGGAGAGGGAGCCUGAGAAACGGCUACCACAUCUAAGGAAGGCAGCAGGCGCGCAAAUUACCCAAUUCUAACAGUUUGAGAGAGGUAGUAACAAGAAAUAACAAUACAAGGCAGUUAAAAUGCUUUGUAAUUGGAAUGAUAGAAAUUUAAACCCUUUUUAAAGUAUCAAUUGGAGGGCAAGUCUGGUGCCAGCAGCCGCGGUAAUUCCAGCUCCAAUAGCGUAUAUUAAAAUUGUUGCAGUUAAAAAGCUCGUAGUUGAAGUUCUGCUAAAAGUAACCGGUCUGCUUUUAAUAAAAGUGGUAUCUUGGUGUGUAUUUAGCAAUGAUGUCCUUUGAAGUGUUUUUUACUUUAUUGUAAUAAAGCAUAUUCAGGACUUUUACUUUGAGAAAAUUAGAGUGUUUCUAGCAGGCCGACGCUUUGAAUACUGCAGCAUGGAAAUAAAUAAGA
rnacentral:rRNA from 1 species